rnacentral:rRNA from 1 species
GAAGGGGUNGCCUACCAUGCAAGUCGAACGGUAGCACAGGAUAGCUUGCUCUCUGGGUGGCGAGUGGCGGACGGGUGAGGAAUACAUCGGAAUCUACUUUUUCGUGGGGGAUAACGUAGGGAAACUUACGCUAAUACCGCAUACGACCUACGGGUGAAAGCAGGAGAUCUUCGGACCUUGCGCGAUUGAAUGAGCCGAUGUCAGGAUUAGCUAGUUGGCGGGGUAAAGGCCCACCAAGGAGACGAUCCGUAUCUGGUCUGAGAGGAUGAUCAGCCACACUGAAACUGAGACACGGUCCAGACUCCUACGGGAGGCAGCAGUGGGGAAUAUUGGACAAUGGGCGCAAGCCUGAUCCACCCAUACCGCGUGGGUGAAGAAGGCCUUCGGGUUGUAAAGCCCUUUUGUUGGGAAAGAAAUCCAGCUGGCUAAUACCCGGUUGGGAUGACGGUACCCAAAGAAUAACCACCGGCUAACUUCGUGCCAGCAGCCGCGGUAAUACGAAGGGUGCAAGCGUUACUCGGAAUUACUGGGCGUAAAGCGUGCGUAGGUGGUCGUUUAAGUCCGUUGUGAAAGCCCUGGGCUCAACCUGGGAACUGCAGUGGAUACUGGGCGACUAGAGUGUGGUAGAGGGUAGCGGAAUUCCUGGUGUAGCAAUGAAAUGCGUAGAGAUCAGGAGGAACAUCCAUGGCGAAGGCAGCUACCUGGACCAACACUGACACUGAGGCACGAAAGCGUGGGGAGCAAACAGGAUUAGAUACCCUGGUAGUCCACGCCCUAAACGAUGCGAACUGGAUGUUGGGUGCAAUUUGGCACGCAGUAUCGAAUCUAACGCGUUAAGUUCCCCGCCUGGGGAGUACGCUCGCAAGACUGAAACUCAAAGGAAUUGACGGGCGCCCGCACAAGCGGUGGAGUAUGUGAUUUAAUUCAAUGCUACGCAAACAACCUUACCUGGGCUUGACAUGUCGAGUACUUUCCAGAGAUGGAUUGCUGCCUUCGNGAACUCAAACACAGGUGCUGCAUGGCUGUCGUCACCUCGUGUCAUGAGAUGUUGGGUUAACUCCCGCAACGAGCGCACCNUUGUCUUAGUGCCNCACGAUAUGGGGGAACUCUAAGAAACCGCGGGAANAACCGAAGAAGGGGGGAUGANUUCAUUCUCCUGCCCUUACGGCAGGG